AACAGCUCAAAUUUGAAAUCUGGCUCCUCUGGGGGUCCGAGUUGUAAUUUGUAGAGGAUGCUUCGGGCAAGGUCGCGGUCUAAUUUGCUUGGAACAGCGAGUCACAGAGGGUGAGAGUCCCGUCUAGGACCGCGCGCCGCGUCCAUGUGAAGCUCCUUCGACGAGUCGAGUUGUUUGGGAAUGCAGCUCUAAAUGGGUGGUAAAUUUCAUCUAAAGCUAAAUAUUGGCCAGAGACCGAUAGCGCACAAGUAGAGUGAUCGAAAGAUGAAAAGCACUUUGAAAAGAGAGUUAAACAGUAUGUGAAAUUGUUGAAAGGGAAGCGCUUGCAACCAGACUUGCGUGUGACGGUUCCCCCCAUCUUCUGAUGGGGCUAUUCCGUCAUCUCCAGGCCAGCAUCGGUUCGGGUGGUCGGUUAAAGACCUCGGGAAUGUAUCUACCUCCGGGUCGACUUAUAGCCCGGGGUGCAAGGCGGCCCACCCGGACCGAGGAACGCGCUCCGGCUCGGAUGCUGGCGUAAUGGUUGUAAGCGGCCCGUCUUGAAACACGGACCAAGGAGUCUAACAUCUAUGCGAGUGUUUGGGUGUCAAACCCCUACGCGUAAUGAAAGUGAACGGAGGUAAGAACCCCGCCAGGGCGCAUUAUCGACCGAUCCUGAUGUCUUCGGAUGGAUUUGAGUAAGAGCAUAGCUGUUGGGACCCGAAAGAUGGUGAACUAUGCCUGAAUAGGGUGAAGCCAGAGGAAACUCUGGUGGAGGCUCGCAGCGGUUCUGACGUGCAAAUCGAUCGUCAAAUUUGGGCAUAGGGGCGAAAGUAAGUCAAGCUCCUUAGCGCCCGCUGGCACCGUCAAAACAGAACACUAAUCUUUCUCUAGGACCAAUCGAACCAUCUUUAAACGUUGCCGGGUGGUUAAUCCCCCCACUUUCAGUUGGGUCAGUCUGAUACUCGGUAUCGGGCGACGUCGUCAGUCUUCGGGGAUGUCCUUACGGCUAUCCGAAGCCGUCCUUGUGUUGGGACGGUCCACAGACUAGACAGUGACGGCCGGAGCCUCUUGACGGGGACGGUGAUUAUAUAGUCGAGUAAAGCUGUGGGAUCUCGCGAGCGUUCUAACCAGAACACUCGGUAGGACCCGUACAUCAUCUUGUAUACCUCAUUGGUCGAGCGAGAUCCCGCAGCUUUUGAACGCUGGUAGCUGGUUCCUGUCGAAGUUUCCCUCAGGAUAGCAGUAACGUUUUCAGUUUUAUGAGGUAAAGCGAAUGAUUAGAGGCCUUGGGGUUGAAACAACCUUAACCUAUUCUCAAACUUUAAAUAUGUAAGAAGUCCUUGUUACUUAAUUGAAC
rnacentral:rRNA from 1 species